rnacentral:rRNA from 1 species
AGAGUUUGAUCCUGGCUCAGAACGAACGCUGGCGGCAUGCCUAACACAUGCAAGUCGAACGAGGGCUUCGGCCCUAGUGGCGCACGGGUGAGUAACGCGUGGGAACCUGCCCUGUGGUACGGAAUAACUCCGGGAAACUGGAGCUAAUACCGUAUGUGUCUUGAGGGACAAAGAUUUAUCGCCAUGGGAUGGGCCCGCGUAGGAUUAGCUUGUUGGUGGGGUAACGGCCUACCAAGGCAACGAUCCUUAGCUGGUCUGAGAGGAUGAUCAGCCACACUGGGACUGAGACACGGCCCAGACUCCUACGGGAGGCAGCAGUGGGGAAUAUUGGACAAUGGGCGCAAGCCUGAUCCAACAAUGCCGCGUGAGUGAUGAAGGCCUUCGGGUUGUAAAGCUCUUUCGCACGCGACGAUGAUGACGGUAGCGUGAGAAGAAGCCCCGGCUAACUUCGUG